rnacentral:rRNA from 1 species
ACUCCUACGGGAGGCAGCAGUGGGGAAUAUUGCACAAUGGGGGAAACCCUGAUGCAGCAACGCCGCGUGAGUGAUGACGGUCUUCGGAUUGUAAAGCUCUGUCUUCAGGGACGAUAAUGACGGUACCAAAGGAGGAAGCCACGGCUAACUACGUGCCAGCAGCCGCGGUAAU